ACGAAGAAAAGAGGAAGAGAAAGUGAGAGAGAAUCAGGUUGUUGCUAGCAAUCGGAGGCAGAGAGAGAUUAGCACCAUUUGAAUCGAAGAUGGAGAGAAGCCACCUUAAGUCGCCGAUUGAGGAUUCGAGAAGGUUUGCGCUUUUUGGAAAUCGGCAGUGGCUGUGUGGCGAAAACCUGAUGGAGAACACCGUUGUGCUUUCGCUUACGGACCAAAGUGAGGGCACGAUCGAAACUCCAACACAAAAGAAGCAUUUUGGGGCAUGGAAAUAGAAGAAACUGUGAUUUGAAGCUCAGUCCAAUGGGGUUCCUUAUAAAAGGAGGUUUGGUCAGUCAUCAUCGAUUAAUUGUUGCUUGCCACUGUGAGGGUAAACGAUGGAAAUUUUGGCGUGAUAGCAAUUUGAAGAGUAAAUUUUAGGGUCACUCAAUUCAGCUUGAUCAUGUUGUUCUUUUAAUGGUGGAAUUUGAAGACAGAGAAAUUUUUCAAUGGAGUAAGGUUACAACAUCAAUUAACAAUCUUAUAUUGGAAAAGCUCUAUUGUGACCACUGUGGUACAAUGCGUAUACAGGGGAAUCAUAACUAUUCUUGCAAGCUGAAAUUCAAGGAGCAAUCUAUCAUUGACCAAAAUCCUCACCAGUACAUGGUUUAGUUCAAGAUAGAAAUGGAAAAACAAUAGCAAUACUAUUUGGAAAAUGGGAUGAGAGCAUCCAUUAUGUGGAUGGAAAUUGUUCUGGGAAGGGAAAAGGAUUGGAGUCUUGACCUGAUGCCCAGUUGCAUUGGAAACGGAGCAAGCCACCCCAGUUUCCUACAAGAUAUAACUUGCCACGCUUUGCCAUCACCAUGAAUGAACUCACCCUUGGAUUAAAGGUAGUGUCGAUGACUUCAUUACUAUUACUUAAUGCCCUGGUUUGAAACACUGCACCGGAACAUUUUUUCUUUCU